GGCGAACGCUGGCGGCGCGCCUAACACAUGCAAGUCGAACGAGCGAGAGAGAGCUUGCUUUCUCAAGCGAGUGGCGAACGGGUGAGUAACGCGUGAGGAACCUGCCUCAAAGAGGGGGACAACAGUUGGAAACGACUGCUAAUACCGCAUAAGCCCACAGCUCGGCAUCGAGCAGAGGGAAAAGGAGCAAUCCGCUUUGAGAUGGCCUCGCGUCCGAUUAGCUAGUUGGUGAGGUAACGGCCCACCAAGGCGACGAUCGGUAGCCGGACUGAGAGGUUGAACGGGCCACAUUGGGACUGAGACACGGCCCAGACUCCUACGGGAGGCAGCAGUGGGGGAUAUUGCACAAUGGGGGAAACCCUGAUGCAGCGACGCCGCGUGGGAGGAAGAAGGUUUUCGGAUUGUAAACUCCUGUCGUUAGGGACG
rnacentral:rRNA from 1 species